rnacentral:rRNA from 1 species
UACGUAGGGGGCAAGCGUUGUUCGGAAUUACUGGGCGUAAAGGGCGCGUAGGCGGCCUGCUAAGUCGAACGUGAAAUCCCUGGGCUCAACCCAGGAACUGCGUCCGAUACUGGUUGGCUUGAAUCCGGGAGAGGGAUGCAGAAUUCCAGGUGUAGCGGUGAAAUGCGUAGAUAUCUGGAGGAAUACCGGUGGCGAAGGCGGCAUCCUGGACCGGCAUUGACGCUGAGUGAGCGAAAGCCAGGGGAGCAAACGGG